UUUCGCAAUGCCCGAAAGGGUGACGAAGCGACGCCGCGUGCGGGAAGAAGGCCUUCGGGUUGUAAACCGCUGUCGGGAGUUAAGAAAUGUAAGGAUGUUAAUAGCAUCUUUGCUUGACUAAGGCUCCGGAGGAAGCCACGGCUAACUCUGUGCCAGCAGCCGCGGUAAUACAGAGGCGGCAAGCGUUGUUCGGAAUUAUUGGGCGUAAAGAGCACGUAGGCGGCUAUGUAAGUCGGUUGUGAAAGCCUUCCGCUCAACGGGAGAACAGCGUCCGAUACUGCAUGGCUUGAGUGCGGGAGGGGAGAGUGGAACUUCUGGUGGAGCGGUGAAAUGCGUAGAUAUCAGAAGGAACGCCGGCGGCGAAAGCGGCUCUCUGGCCCAUAACUGACGCUGAGUGUGCGAAAGCUAGGGGAGCAAACGGGAUUAGAUACCCCGGUAGUCCUAGCCGUAAACGAUGGGCACUAAGUAGAGGGGUUUUA
rnacentral:rRNA from 2 species